AGCUCAAAAUGGGUGGUAAAUUCCAUCUAAAGCUAAAUAUUGGCGAGAGACCGAUAGCGAACAAGUACCGUGAGGGAAAGAUGAAAAGCACUUUGGAAAGAGAGUUAAACAGUACGUGAAAUUCGUUGAAAGGGAAACGAUUGAAGUCAGUCGUGUCGGUCGGAUUCAGCCGGGUCUCCCGGUGUAUUUUCCUUCCGACGGGUCAACAUCAGUUUGGAUCGGCGGAUAAAGAUGGAGGGAAGGUGGCAUCCUCGGAUGUGUUAUAGCCCUCUGUUGCAUACGCUGGUUCGGACUGAGGCAUGCAGCUCGCCUUUAUGGCCGGGGUUCGCCCACGUUCGAGCUUAGGAUGUUGACGUAAUGGCUUUAAACGAC
rnacentral:sRNA from 1 species